CCCUUAGAUGUCCUGGGCCGCACGCGUGCUACACUGACGCAUACAGCGAGCACUUUCCAGUUCCGAGAGGCUACUGGUAAUCAUCAAUAUGCGUCGUGAUGGGGAUAGAUCUUUGGAAUUCUGGAUCUUGAACGAGGAAUGCCUAGUAAUCGCAGGUCAUUAGCCUGCGAUGAUUAAGUCCCCGCCCUUUGUACACACCGCCCGUCGCUACUACCGAUUUCGAGUGGUCAGGUGAAUCUUUCGGACUGUGGGCGCCCUUGAGGUGUUCGCGGAAAGUCAGGUAAAUCUUAUCACUUAGAGGAAGUAAAAGUCGUAACA
rnacentral:rRNA from 1 species